UGAUUUACAAUGUUGUGUUAGUUUCAGGUGUACAGCAAAGUGAUUUAGUGAUAUACACAAUUUUUUUUCGUAUUCUUUUACAUUAUGGGUAUUAUAGGAUAUUGAGUAUAGUUCCUUGUAUAGGAUAUUGAGUAUAGUUCCUUGUAUAGGGUAUUGAGUAUAGGACCUUGUUGUUUCUCCUUUUUAUAUAUAGUAGUUUGUAUCUACUAGUCCCAAACUCUUAAUUUAUCCCUCCCCACUCCCUUCUCCCUUUGGUAACCAUAAGUUUGUUUUCUACAUCUGUGAGUCUAUUUCUGCUUUGUAAAUAAGUUCAUUUGUGUCAUAUUUUAGAUUCCACAUAUAAGUGAUACCACAUGGUAUUUGUCUUUUUCUGUCUUCACUUAAUAUGAUGAUCUCCAGAUCCAUCCAUGUUGCUGCAAAUGGCAUUAUUUCACCCUUCUUAUGGCUGAGUAGUAUUCCACUGUGUAUGUUUUAUAUAUAUAUAUAUAUAAAAUCUUUAUCCACUUAUCUGUCAGUGGACAUUUAGGUUGCUUCCAUGUCUUCGCUAUGGUAAAUAGUGCUACAAUGAAUAUCAGGGGGCAUGUAUCUUUUUGAAUUACAGUUUUCUCUGGAAGAAGGUGGAUUACCAGAUCAUAUUGUAGUUCUAUUUUUAGUAGUUUUUUUGGAGCAUUUUAUGGCUAUACCUGAGGCAUAUGGAAGCUCCUGGGCCAAGGAUUGAAUCUGAGCCACAGCUGCAACCUACACUACAGCUGCAGUAAUGCUGGAUCCUUUAACCAACCAUGCUGGGCUGAGGCUCAAACCUGCACCUCUGCAGUGACCUGAGCCACUGCAAUUGGAUUCUUCACCCACUGCGCCACAGCAGGAAACCCUGUUUUUGUGGACUUUUUGAUGAUGGCCAUUCUGACUGGUGUGAGGUGAUACCUCAUUACAGUUUUGAUUUGCAUUCCCCUAAAAAUUAGUGAUGUUGAGCAUCUUUUCAUGUGCCUAAAUAUGGCCACCUGUAUGUUAUCUUAUCUCCCCAAAAUUCUUAGCUCAGCAGCAGAUUCACUGGGAAAACAGUCACUUCAUCGACCUCAGAACUAUCUGAAAGGGCUCACAUGGCCAGUAUUCAACCUCUGAAGAGGAAGAUGUCCUCUAUAAGGACAGACCCUACAUUCUAUCUUUCCAGAAUUUUUUCCUAUUUUUAUUCACUGUUUUAUUCCAUACCAGACCAAUAAUGACUACCAAAAAAUAAGAACUGAAGUUGAUCCAAUAAUGAGGGCUAAAACAGAACUUCAAACUCUUGAUGGAGAAACGCCAAAAGAAACUUCCAGGUCAUGUGCACAGGAGAAUCUAAGAGAAAGUUCAAAACAUUUAAAAGUCUGACUUCUUGGACACUUGAAAGAACAAAAGAAAAGAGAAAAGAAGUAUGACUAUUAGUAUCCAGGGACAAAGGCAACCAUUUGUUAAUGGUCUGAACUGCGUUUCCCCAAAAUUCAUCGUUAAAGUUGUAACUCCUAGAACCUCAGAACAUGAACAUUUCGAGACAGAGUCUUUAAAGGGUAAUUAAAGGAGUCAUAGGAUGAAUCUUAAUCCUGGACAACUGGUAUCCUUAUAAGAAAAUAAAUUUGGACCCAGACACCCCCUAAAAGAAUGUGAUGUGAGAGUUCUUCCUGUAGUGAAAUGGGAGCAGCGAUGUCUCUGGAGCCCUGGGACACAGGUUCGAUCCCCAGCACAGUAGGUUAAGGAUUUGGCGUAGGUCCGUAGAUACUGUGACUCAGAUCUUGUCUUUGGCCUGGAAACCCCUUAUGCUUCAGGGCAACCAAAAAAGGAAAAGAGGAAAAAAAAAAAAGAAUAUGAUGUGAAGAGACCCACGGAGAGGAUGCCCUGCCAUCUACAAGCCAAUGAGAGAAGCUUCAAAUGGAUCCUUCCCUUCCAGCACUCAGAAAGAACCAAACCUACCAGCACUUUGAUCCUUCCCUUCUAGCCUCCAGAACUGUGAGAAAAUAAAUUUCUGUACCCAGUCUGUGGUACUUUGUCAUGGCAGCCCAAGCAAACGAAUACACCAUUCAUGGUGCCAAAUGUAGAAACAUCAUUGCAUCAAUUCAUGUUCAAAUCAACGUCAAUUCAUGAGAUGCUAUUACAGCCUUUCUGGGGGGAAUCUUGGAUUGUAAGCUCCUCUAAGGUAGGGAUCUGCAUCUACUCAAUUCAUCUGUUCCACUUAUCAUGUCAUCUCCAGCAGGUACAUGCUCAACAUGUGUUUGUCUGGAACACUAACCUAUAUUUUCUUCUAAAAGAAUCCCUUUUGUUUCAUCCUCCCUUUGUAUCUCUGUGACCCAGGAAGCAAAGAAAUGAAACAAGUCCUCCUGCUUCUGCAAACAAUGGGCAUGAGGACUGCCUGUCAUAAAAACACAAAGAACAUUUCUUGCCAGAAGAUAAAUGAAUAGAGGUUUUACCUUCCCACUAAAAAGAGAAAAUGAAAAGGGCAAAAAGUCACAAAGACAGAGGAAAAAAAAAAUGGAUUACACUAGAAAGUAGAGUGGUUCAUUGGAGAAUAUUAAAGCUCUAAUUUAACCUUUCAUGAGCAUCACUUAUCUACACUGAAGGGCAAAGAUCCUGGUCCCAUUGUGAGCACUCCCAGUCUUCUAGUCCUACUUUUACCACAGCCAAUGCAGUAAAUCUUUCCUGAAAUAUACAUCUGGCUAUGCAUAGCAUGGAAUUAAUUCAACCACACCUGUAGCAGACCUUCCAGAAAUAGUUUACAGUAAUUUGUCAGGGUUACCCUUUUAAUAAAACAUAAAUGUGUCUAAAUUGAAAGCACUUUAAAGAGGUGAGGAGGUCCAUUUUUCUUAUACAAAUGCUGCAUCAGCAAGCAGAUGGAGGUAAAAAAUACUGGUGCUGAGAAGAGUGACCAUUCUGUUGGACUUUGUCAUCAGUGCUGUAAAGAGAAGCUUAGCAUUUCAGCAUGGGCAGGAUGUGAUUCAGAACCAACUACAUCUUCCCUGAUUAGUCCUAGAAAUGUCGAGUCCUAUAAUUAAUGAGGGACAUUUGUAAGCCCACACACUCGGUGUGUAAUGACAAAUGAAGAAUCCGCAUUGGAGCAUUUUAAAAUGUGUGCUGACAUAUGGUUUUAAUAUCCAGUGGCCCCCAUCUGCAGAAUCCGAGGAUAUCAGACAUUCCUAGAGACCAUCCACUAUAACAGAAGAAUCCAAACUGCCUGAGGAUAAACGCUUUCAGUGUUGGAAGCAGCUCAUGUACACUCCAUUACUUUCAAAUGCUGGCUGAUGGCCCACACCCACACUGUGCUUUCUUGAAAGAGACGGGUGGGGAUAACCAAUUUUCUCCAGAUACUUACAUAGACUUAACUUUACCAAUGUGGUUUUUUUUAAUUAGAUACAUAAUUAAAUGACACGUAACCAAACAUUCACCAAAAUUAACCCAAUGCUCCUGGUACAGAAUUUCUAUGUCAGGAACACAGACGGUCUAAACUAGACGACAGCAGUAUGACAAUGCUAAGAGUUGUCUUCAAGAGGCCAGGGUCUUCUUGCAGGCAAUAUCGUGCCUUGUGGUGGCUCUUCUAUGUCUGCAAGAAGCCCUAAUUAUUAAUAGUCUGAGUGUUUUGCUUUCACUGCAGGCAGUAGUAACUACAAAAACUUGAGGGUAUUGGAGCACUCAUAAUAUUUAGAGUAUUCAACACUUGUAAGUUAUCUUACUGCGAGUCUCUGGAGCUCAAAAAUAUCGGUACCUGGCCAAUUCGUCCAUGAUAAAAUACAGAAGAACCAAGCCUUUUAGGAAAAUUUCAAUUUUACUAAUCAGAAAAAUGUUUCUUAAAAUUGAUCUUUUAAGAUGACCCUUGGAUGAUCACUGGCAUUAUAAAGCAAGAAAGAGGUACCACUGUUUGCACAGGAGGCUAGGGCUUUAUCUCGAGCUGUGUAAAUUACCCCUUGGGCCAAUCACUCAGCUUUGGUGGAAAGAACCAGUCACUUCUCUCACAAUCCAAGGACCUGUUCCAGAACAAACCAUCUCGCAGGGCAUCAAGCAAUGUUAGAAACAUCAGUGGAAAUGCUCUCACAGAUCAUACAUAGCCAAUAAGUAAACCAGCCCUCAAAGAAAGAUAUUUGAAAUCUAUGUUAAAUACAUUUAUCCAACCUAACUGUCAGGGCUUUUGAACCAAGCUUUUAAGAGCAAGUAAAUAAAACUUUAUCAGCUCAAUAAAGACUGAUAGCCAGGGAUCUACAGCCAUCGUUAUUAUCAACAACAGAACUCCAUUGGUAGUUCCCGUUGUGGCUCAGCGGAAAUGAAUCCUUCUAGUAACUGUGAAGUUGAAGGUUUGAUCGCUGGUCUUAGUGGGUUAGGGAUCCAGCAUUGCUGUGAGCUGUGGUGUAGGUCACAGACAUGGCCUGGAUCUGGUAUUGCUGUGGCUGUGGUGUAGGCUAGCAGCUACAGCUCUGAUUCGACCCCUAGCCUGGGAACCACCUUAUACCACAAGUGCAGCCCUAAAAAGCAAAAAAAAAUAAAAAUAAUAAAAACAAUAAAAUAAAAUAAAGAACAGAACUCCAUUAACUUACGAAAUAAAAACCAAGUAUCCCCAAACUAAAAAAGCAACAUUGGCAUUCAACCACAUCGUUGUUUAGUAGAAAAGGUCAAUCUUAAAUCCAGAACCAAGAAGCAGAAAAGGAAAACAAAACAGCCUUCUAUAAAAAUAACUGAGCUACAGUUUCUCCUUAUCAUCAAACAAAUUAUCUAAUAACCCAUCAACUUAGUAAUAUUUUAUAUAAUACAUAUUUCCUGGGUUCAAAAAUAUGAGCUACACCCGCCUCCUGAAGAGGUCUCUUAGCAAAUGAUUAAGAGAGCACAGGUCCAAGGAGGAAACUUACUCUCUUUCCAACCCUUGCCAUACCAAAGCUGAAACAAAGAUUGAAAAAGCACAAUCACAAGAUGAAGAAAUGACUCAUGUACCUAUUAGAUUUCUUUACAAACAAAAUAAAGGGAAAACCAGAUUUGCAAGUAGAUACAGGAAAAACAAAUAUCUCCAUUUUCAAUUCACCAGCUCUUUUUCUUCUCCUUCUUCUUUCUCCCCCAAAUAAACUACCUCAUUUUUCUUAAGCUAGAUAUGGUAUCUAUAGCUUUGUAACUGCUUCCUGACUCAGGAACAUUGCAGCAUGAUUAUCUUAUUUCCACAGGAGGGGAAAUAUGUACCUAUCUCAUACACCCCUUCGAUACCACAGGGAUACAACUUGUUCCAACAGUUUUGCAGAAAUGGUUUCCUUUCUGUGAGCGUUCAACCCAGGAUAAAGUGCAGUGCAAAGUCAGACCCAAUUUCUUCUCUGUGAGGAGAGUUUCCAACAUUGCCAUGAAGGCGGACUAUGGCAAGGAAAACAUCAGAAGAGAGGUCAAAUGCUCUUGAUCUCACAGCCAAAGGAAACCUUGGACUGACUUCCCUCAAAAACAACAGCAACAACAAACCCUCAAAACAAUAGGUUUGCCAUCUUUCACCUAUUCAAAAAUAAGCCAAAUAUAUGGUUUUUAUAAGCAACGAUUCAGAGAAAAGGGAAACCAUUGCAUUCGAUGAUCUAGACCCACCAACCUUAGUACCUAAAUAUUUUACGACAUUUUAAAGGAAAGGCUCCAUUUUCUCCAUUUCGGUAAAUGUCUCUUUCAACUAAAGAGUCAUCUGUGUUGUGCAACAUAAAAAAGGCAAGGGCCAGGGUUGUGUCUAUUUUUCAAUUUACAUAAAUAUGAAAAGCAAAAAAGUCAUCAUAUUUAUUUAUUUCUUGGAAAAUGUAUUUAGCAAAAGUAUGCUGCUUUCACUAAGACUUUUUAGAGCUCUGUUCUCAACCACAAGAGUUAGCAAUUCUUUUCCAAAGUCCAACCAUGUGGGGGCCACAAUUUGAUACUAAACAAAGGUGGUUUUUUUUUAAUUGAAAAUAGAAGAAUCUUAAUCAAUGCCAGCUUCAAUAACAGUAUCCUCUCUAAGUCUGUCAGGGGGUUGUUAAGCAUUGUUGAAAUUAUAUUUUUCCCUUGAUAAGUGUUUUUCCUCAAUUAAAGGAGGAUCAGAACACUGUUUAAUCAUACUGAAAGCAAUAGGGAACCGACUGUAGAUUCCAAGAACAGGACUCUUCAUUUAUCAUGAAGAUCGUCUUACUUUGAAUCAGUGACUAUGUGUAAAUAAAGGCACUUGAGUUCUGAAAAAAUUCUUAGGAAGUACCAGAGGAAAUUUUACACAUUUAUACCAUUUAAAAACUAGAAAACACGUAUUCGACCAAGCUUCGCUGAGCUUUGGUAGGAUGCUAAAAGAAAAUGUAGCUAUUCUCACCAGUGCCCUCUUAUAAUUUGUUUCACCCUUACCCAAAACAAGGUAAACAAACAAUGGCUUAGAACAUUUCCCUAUCAUAAAUGUCAUUUUCUCAAAAUCUAAAAUCAGAAAAGUACAGAGGGCAAAAUAGGCCUUAUAUAGAAUGAACAAUCCAGACGUAUCUGUAAUUAAUUCUCUACCAUGACCUCCUUUCCCUGCUAGAUAAUAGAUUUGGGUUUGAUAUUGAUAUAUGUUUAAUGAAAACUCAUCCACAGACUCCCCAAGUUCAGUUCGACAGCUCAAGAAAGUCAACUAAGGGUGUCCCAUAUUCUCCUACCUGUAAAUACCAGUCUUGUAUUUUCUUGGCAUCCACCCCAGCCUGCUGUUUAGGAGCUACCUGGAGCAGCCCAUGUUACACCAAUUAAAAAAAAAAAAUUCGAUUACCUUAUAUUUAUCAAGUAAUCACAUUGAGUUCUUGCCACAAUGGGGAGUUGACCUUGGAAAAAAUUUUUUUGAAAACAUAGGGAAGAAAUCACCUCAUUUUUUUUUUCCUGGAGUUUUGUGUGCAAAAUAAAAUCCUAAAAAAGAACUAAUUUCAGCUAGGUACUCAGUUCUUAAAGGUUAAAUCUUUUGCAAAUGUUUACGCCACACCUUAAGUUAAAUAUUAUCCCCAUUUUAUAGAUGAGGAAGCUGAGGCUUAAGAAAAGAUAAGCAACUUGCUCCACUAUAGCACAAGAGAAAAUCUGAAUCUCACAGCAAGGAAAGCUUGGCCAUGGACCUCCAAAUUUAGAGGGCAUUACAUAUUUUACACAAUCUCUAAAUGAUGAAAUUUUUUUAUUUUGUAAAUGUUGUUUCAGUUGCACAAUUUUCUUUUAGUUGCAUAGCUGAUAGAAUUUUUGUAUCAGUAUAAUGACAGGACUAUACAUGUAUCCCACUGAACAGCUUAUAAAAUCCAAAUUUUACAUCUACAAGUAAAAUAGCUCAUUAAUAAUUUUAAUUUUGAUUACAUGUUGAAAUUACAUGUUCAAUAUAUUGAGUUAAAAAUAUAUUACCAGGGAGUUCCCUUGGUGGCUCAGCGGAAACGAAUUUGACUAGGAACCAUGAGGUUGCGGGUUCAAUCCCUGGCUUCCAUGAGUGGGUUAAGGAUCUGGCGUUGCUAUGAGCUGUUGUGUAGGCUAGCAACUAUAGCUCCAAUUAGACCCCUAGCCUGGGAACCUCCAUAUGCCAUGGGUGUGGCCCUACAAAAAUAAAAGACAAAAAAAAAAGAAAAGAAAAAGAAAAAAUAUAUAUAUAUCUAAAACCAAAAAUAAUUUCAUUAGUUUCUUUUUCCUUUUUUAAUGGGGCUAUUACAAAAUUUUAAAUUACAUAUGUGUCUCUUGGACAGCAGUGGAUAAACUGUUAAGAAUACUCUUCUCUUUUCAUCUUCGCCACAAGAUGAAUUACAAGGUUGAUAUGUGAGCCCAGCACACCUAAUUUGCUAGUUAACACUUUGGGAAUACCGAAACAUGCGGAUUUUAAUCUUUAGUCAAUCACCAAUUCAUUCAUUUAAAUAAUUAUUCACUGAGCAACUGCUUUGUCCUAGGCAAAAUAAGACAAAGUCUGAUAUAUAGGCUUGUCUCUAGGGAAUUUCAUAAGUACCCUUUUAAGGCAAGGUCCACACCACUUUAAUACUUCGGUGAUAAGGCUGUCUCUAUUAAUACCAAAAACUAAAUGGCAUAUUUGGAGCCUAUUUAAAACAUGGGGAGUUCCCAUUGUGGCACAGCAGACGUGAACCUGAUCAGGAAUCAUGAGGUUGCAAAUUUGAUCCCUGGCCUCGCUCAGUGGGUUAAGGAUCCAGCAUUGUCGUGAGUUGUGGCGUAGGUCGCAGACACUGCUUGGAUCCUGUGUUGCUAUGGCUGUGGCGUAGGCUGGCAGCUCUGAUUCGACCCCUAGCCUGGCAAUCUCCAUAUGCUGCGAGUAUAGCCCAAAAAAAGCAAAUUAAUUAAUUAAAAUAAAACAUGGCAAAUUGAGAAGCGGAUGGUGCCAGCAACAAUUCCAGGAUUUCAUUAACUGGACAUGGGAGGUGGGCUGAUUUAAAGCUAAUGGCAACUUCAACCUUAAUCAGAAGAUAAAGUAAUCAUGCAAAUGCACUUCAGUUCAAAGGGGAAGACAGGACUCUUCCAAAUCUAAUCCUCUCCCCUCUCACCUGCAUAGCCAAGGUGGAGAUUAACUGCAUGUCACUUUAGCCAUACUACUGUAAUUACCUGCUAGACCUUCUUACUAGAAGGAAUGAAAGUGAUCAAAUCUUGUAAACUCUUGGAGUACACUAACGCUCCCAGGUAGCAUUAGGCAAUGAUACAAAUGCUUAAAAAAAAAAAAAAAAAAGAAUCUCACAGUAAAUCAGGAAAAAACCCACUAGCUACAUUCUAUUUACCCAACAAAAACAAAAUCAACCUGUUCCACAAUGCUGCAUGGCAUAUGAUUUGCCUUUCCUUUGCCAUUAGUUUAAUAAUAUGGAUUAAAGGUUCUAGCAAUUUAACUCCUACGUCGCUUUACAGUGUAACCGAGAUCCUAGAGGAGUGGUCUUAUGGGAGACUUUGUUUCCCUAGAAGAAAAACAAAGAAUAUCCUAAUAUCGGGAGAAUAAUGUUCACCACCAGGCCAGUCAACUAAGUCAAGAUGCCAAAUUCUUUUCUACAGCUUC
rnacentral:lncRNA from 1 species